rnacentral:lncRNA from 1 species
CUGCUCCUCCUUCCCAGCCCCAAAUUCCCAAUUUUCCCCUCUCCCAGAUUUUCCCUCGGCUCCGGCCGCCACCUGCCGGCGAUUCCCACCCGGAAUUCCCGCCUGGAAUUCCCUCCCCUCUUCCUCUUCCUCCUCUCUCCACGUUUUUCCCCCAUCCCAUCCCAAAAAUUCCUCCUUUUUCCCUCAUUUUCCUCCCCUUUCCCAGGUUUUUCCCUGCUUUUUUUUCCCUUUUCCCAGAUUUUUUCCCCAUUCCAGCCCAAAUCCUCUCCCUCUUCCCCAUUUUUUCCCAUUUUUUCCCAUUUUUUCCCCAUUUUUUUCCCAUUUUUUCCCAUUUUUUCCCAUUUUUUUCCCCAUUUUUUCCCUCAUUUUCCCCCUUUUUUCCCAAUAUUUCCCAAUUUUUCCCAUUUUCCCCUCAUUCCAUCCCAAAUCCUCUCCCUUUUCCCCAUUUCCCCCCAUUUUUUCCCAUUUUCCCCCAGUUUUUCCUACUUUUUCCCCCAGUUUUUCCCAGUUUUCCUCACAUUUUGUCCCAUUUUCCCCCAUUUUUCCCCUUUUUUCCCAAUUUUACCCAAUUUUUCCCAGUUUUUCCCCCAUUUUUCCCCCCAUUUUUCCCAUUUCCCCCCCAUUUUUCCCAGUUUUCCUCCCUUUUUUUCCCAGUUUUCCAGUUUUUCCCCCAGUUUUCCCCAGUUUUCCCCAUUUUUCCCAGUUUUCCUCCCAUUUUUUCCCAGUUUCUCCCCGUUUUUCCCACUUUUUCCCCCAGUUUUCCCCAGUUUUUCCCAGUUUUCCUCCCAUUUUUCCCAGUUUUCCUCCCAUUUUUUCCCAGUUUAUCUCAGUUUUCCUCCCAGUUUCCCCCAGUUUUUCCCCAUUUUUCCCAUUUUUCCCCCAUUUUUCCCCAUUUUUCCCCAUUUUUCCCAUUUUCCCCACAUUUUUCCCAUUUUUCCCCAUUUUACCCCAUUUUUCCCAUUUUCCCCCCAUUUUUCCCCAUUUUUCCCCCAUUUUUUCCCAUUUUUCCCCAUUUUUUCCCCAUUUUUCCCCAUUUCCCCCCAUUUUUUCCCAUUUUUUCCAUUUUUCCCCCCUGUUUUCCCCAUUUUUCCCCCAUUUUUCCCCAUUUUUCCCACUUUUCCCCUCUUUCCCGCAGCCUCAUGGAUCGGGAGGUCGCUCUGCUGGCCGAGAUGGACAAAG